GAACGCGAAGAACCUUACCACCUUUUGACAUCCCGAGACGACUUCCAGAGAUGGAUUUCCUCCCGCAAGGGACUCGGUGACAGGUGCUGCAUGGCUGUCGUCAGCUCGUGUCGUGAGAUGUUGGGUUAAGUCCCGCAACGAGCGCAACCCUCGCCUUUAGUUGCCAUCAUUCAGUUGGGCACUCUAGAGGAACCGCCGGUGAUAAGCCGGAGGAAGGUGGGGAUGACGUCAAGUCCUCAUGGCCCUUACAAGGUGGGCUACACACGUGCUACAAUGGCGGUGACAGUGGGUUAAUCCCCAAAAGCCGUCUCAGUUCGGAUUGUCCUCUGCAACUCGAGGGCAUGAAGUCGGAAUCGCUAGUAAUCGUGGAACAGCA
rnacentral:rRNA from 1 species